GACGAACGCUGGCGGCGUGCUUAACACAUGCAAGUCGAGCGGUAAGGCCCUUUCGGGGGUACACGAGCGGCGAACGGGUGAGUAACACGUGGGUGACCUGCCCUCAGCUCUGGGAUAAGCCUGGGAAGCCGGGUCUAAUACUGGAUAUGACUCCAUGACGCAUGUUGUGGGGUGGAAAGCCUUGUGCGGCUGAGGAUGGGCCCGCGGCCUAUCAGCUUGUUGGUGGGGUGAUGGCCUACCAAGGCGACGACGGGUAGCCGGCCUGAGAGGGCGACCGGGCCACACUGGGACUGAGACACGGCCCAGACUCCUACGGGAGGCAGCAGUGGGGAAUCUUGCGCAAUGGGCGAAAGCCUGACGCAGCGACGCCGCGUGAGGGAUGACGGCCU
rnacentral:rRNA from 1 species